CCUACGGGUGGCUGCAGUGGGGAAUAUUGGACAAUGGGCGCAAGCCUGAUCCAGCAAUGCCGCGUGAGUGAUGAAGGCCUUAGGGUUGUAAAGCUCUUUCGGGUGGGACGAUGAUGACGGUACCACCAGAAGAAGCCCCGGCUAACUUCGUGCCAGCAGCCGCGGUAAUACGAAGGGGGCUAGCGUUGUUCGGAAUUACUGGGCGUAAAGCGCACGCAGGCGGCGCGUUAAAUUAGGAGUGAAAGCCCUGGGCUUAACCCGGGAAAUGCUCUUAAGACUGGCGCGCUUGAAUCCGGAAGAGGGCAGUGGAAUUCCAAGUGUAGAGGUGAAAUUCGUAGAUAUUUGGAAGAACACCAGUGGCGAAGGCGACUGCCUGGUCCGGCAUUGACGCUCAUGUGCGAAAGCGUGGGGAGCAAACAGGAUUAGAUACCCCAGUAGUC
rnacentral:rRNA from 1 species